CUAAAGGCUCUUUUAAGAGCCACCACAUUGCAAAAGAGGGCUGUG
rfam:Nipponia nippon contig29138, whole genome shotgun sequence.